UACGAAGGGGGCUAGCGUUGCUCGGAAUCACUGGGCGUAAAGGGUGCGUAGGCGGGUCUUUAAGUCAGGGGUGAAACUCGUGGAGCUCAACCUCCAGACUCGUCUUGAUACUGAGGAUCUUGAGUUCGGGAGAGGUGAGUGGAACUGCGAGUGUAGAGGUGAAAUUCGUAGAUAUUCGCAAGAACACCAGUGGCGAAGGCGGCUCACUGGCCCGAUACUGACGCUGAGGCACGAAAGCGUGGGGAGCAAACAGG
rnacentral:rRNA from 1 species